rnacentral:rRNA from 1 species
UACGUAGGGUGCAAGCGUUAAUCGGAAUUACUGGGCGUAAAGCGUGCGCAGGCGGCUUUGCAAGACAGAUGUGAAAUCCCCGGGCUUAACCUGGGAACUGCAUUUGUGACUGCAUGGCUAGAGUGCGGCAGAGGGGGAUGGAAUUCCGCGUGUAGCAGUGAAAUGCGUAGAUAUGCGGAGGAACACCGAUGGCGAAGGCAGCCCCCUGGGCUGACACUGACGCUCAGGCACGAAAGCGUGGGGAGCAAACAGG